rnacentral:rRNA from 1 species
GGUCUUGACAUCCACAGAACUUUCCAGAGAUGGAUUGGUGCCUUCGGGAACUGUGAGACAGGUGCUGCAUGGCUGUCGUCAGCUCGUGUUGUGAAAUGUUGGGUUAAGUCCCGCAACGAGCGCAACCCUUAUCCUUUGUUGCCAGCGGUCCGGCCGGGAACUCAAAGGAGACUGCCAGUGAUAAACUGGAGGAAGGUGGGGAUGACGUCAAGUCAUCAUGGCCCUUACGACCAGGGCUACACACGUGCUACAAUGGCGCAUACAAAGAGAAGCGACCUCGCGAGAGCAAGCGGACCUCAUAAAGUGCGUCGUAGUCCGGAUUGGAGUCUGCAACUCGACUCCAUGAAGUCGGAAUCGCUAGUAAUCGUGGAUCAGAAUGCCACGGUGAAUACGUUCCCGGGCCUUGUACACACCGCCCGUCACACCAUGGGAGUGGGUUGCAAAAGAAGUAGGUAGCUUAACCUUCGGGAGGGCGCUUACCACUUUGUGAUUCAUGACUGGGGUGAAGUCGUAACAAGGUAACCGUAGGGGAACCUGCGGUUGGAUCACCUCCUUACCUUAAAGAAGC